CCUACGGGGUGCACCAGUAGGGAAUCUUCGGCAAUGGUCGAAAGUCUGACCGAGCAAGGCCGCGUGAGUGAAGAAGGUUUUCGAAUCGUAAAACUCUGUUGUUAGAGAAGAACAAGUAGGAGAGUAACUGCUCUUACCUUGACGGUAUCUAACCAGAAAGCCACGGCUAACUACGUGCCAGCAGCCGCGGUAAUACGUAGGUGGCAAGCGUUGUCCGGAUUUAUUGGGCGUAAAGCGAGCGCAGGCGGUCUUUUAAGUCUGAUGUGAAAGCCCUCGGCUCAACCGAGGAAGGUCAUUGGAAACUGGAGGACUUGAGUGCAGAAGAGGAGAGUGGAAUUCCAUGUGUAGCGGUGAAAUGCGUAGAUAUAUGGAGGAACACCAGUGGCGAAGGCGACUCUCUGGUCUGUAAUUGACGCUGAGGCUCGAAAGCGUGGGGAGCAAACAGGAUUAGAUACCCCCGUAGUC
rnacentral:rRNA from 1 species